GCACCUUUUAGAAAUUAAUGGAACUGUCUUCAGCAGCCCAGAGGCCAAGAUCAAAAAGUGGACUCUGCCCUGUGCUAGCUGGGUAAACCUGUGCCAGCUGGGUAACCUUGGGCGAGUAAUCUCACAUGUCUAAACUUCAGAGUCUUCAUCUGUCAAGUGGACAUGGUCCCAUUUGCAUCCGGGGAUGGUUAUGCAGCUAAAAUGAGAAAACACCUGUUGACCAGCCACAGUGGGUCUGGCACAGUGCUGGGUACACUGCACCGUGAUGCCAGGUGGAAGCUGUGUCUGCUGUCAUGCCACUGGGACACUGGCAGGAUUUACAGACCGGUUGUGACAGAGUAUAGACAUUUUUGUCAGAAGCAAUGUCUAAGCAGGGGCCUGAAGGAUGAGUAGAAGGUUAGGGAGUGUAGUCCAAGCAGAGGGAACAGCGUGGGGAGGGUGUCCUGGAGCAGCGAUGGGAGACCAAGAGAGAGGUUGGAGAGAGAAGCCUCAGCCACCCCACCACAGACCACAGAAGCCACUGCUUGAAGACCAGUCAGCAGCUGGUGAGAAGGAGGCAGAGCAGGCCUGCACACUCCCUGGCUCCGCACCCCAGAGCCUGGGGGGAGAUUCUAUCCCGGGAACUGGCCUGGCCGGUCUGGCUCCGGUGGACAAGUCUGAGCUGGACAAACAGAGCAGGAAGUGCCGGUCCCUGGUCUGCGCACAGUGAUCCUGAGCCCUUGGUAGAAUAACCUGUCCGGCCCAAGAGGAGAAAAACUCUCAGCAAACUGGCCCGACAGCACCCUACUGUCUCAGCAACCUGCUCAGAGGCCCGCGUUCUUUGCCUGGACUUUUGAAAUUGGGUAAUUGGAGCAGUUCUGAAAACACUUGCUGAUGUCACUUCUCUGGCAAUGAUUUUGCUGACCCACAGCUUUCAUCGACUGCCACGGUCCCCUAAGUGACGAACCUGAUUAGUUGAGGGACAUCUGGCAACUCACACCUCCUCUCCAGGCCUGGGUUUCUGUAUCUGUAAAAUGAAUCACUUAAUUCAGUGAAGCUGUAGUUUUGACUCUGAAGUCGUUAUGGGAAGAAUAAAAAUCGUAGUGCUAUCAGAACAAUCAAAGAAAUCCCCUCUCCCAAUUAGAAAAGAUUGAUCUCCUUAGGUGACACACAGAGGGGAAGCUGUGGUUAAGAUGGCCUGUAUUCCACCUAGAUGUUGGCAUGAAGGGGAAGGAAUCUAAGGGUUUUUCCACACUACAGGGAAGUCCCUACUCCUGGUAAGUUAUCACAGGUCCUCAGCUGAUCUAUGGCUCCCCUGACCCCAACCCCAACCCCAAAUAUCAGUGGUGAGGAGUCACCAGCAUCCCUGGGACAUAAUCCCCUACUUUGGGUGGCAUCAAGGAGAGAGAAAAAUACAUAGAACUGGUGCUAGGAGGGGCCUUUGCUCCAGGCAGCCUGCUUCUUCCCUCAGCUGCAGGGGAAGCUGAGGCCCACAGCCUGACAUGCAGCAGGUUCGGGCUGAGCUUACAAGCUGCCGUCUCCACUGCUAACCCAGUGCCAGGAAGAGGAGGAAGAGAAUUUUCACCUGUGAUCAUCAUAUUGUCAAGAGAAGGAGAUAGGGCCCUUGAAGGAUGGUGUCUUGGCUGAGAUGGCCCAGAAAUGCUGGCUGUUUCUCUCAGGAUUGCAGCAGAAGAUCCCCC